ACUCAAAUGAAUAGACGGGGGCCCGCACAAGCGGUGGAGCAUGUGGUUUAAUUCGACGCAACGCGAAGAACCUUACCCAGGCUUGACAUGCGCAGGAAGUAUGGCAGAAACGCCAUGCGCUCUUCGGAGUCUGCGCACAGGUGCUGCAUGGCUGUCGUCAGCUCGUGUCGUGAGAUGUUGGGUUAAGUCCCGCAACGAGCGCAACCCCCGUUCCUAGUUGCCAGCGAGUAAUGUCGGGGACUCUAGGAAGACUGCCGGUGCGAAACCGGAGGAAGGUGGGGAUGACGUCAAGUCAUCAUGGUCCUUACGUCUGGGGCUACACACGUGCUACAAUGGGUGCGACAGUAGGGACCGACCCCGCAAGGGUGAGGCAAUCCUCAAACGCAUCCUCAGUUCGGAUUGUGGGCUGCAACUCGCCCACAUGAAGCUGGAAUCGCUAGUAAUCGUGGAUCAGCUACGCCACGGUGAAUACGUUCCCGGGCCUUGUACACACCGCCCGU
rnacentral:rRNA from 1 species